GCGGGCGCAGCCGGGGGGGUUGAAGGCGGCGGUUCGGGCUGCGCGCGGUGGGGGUGGUCACUGCAGCAGCCCCUCCCCCCCCCGCCGGCAGGGGGCGCUGUGUGGGCGGGGAGAGGCCGGCCUCGAGACGCACCCAGCGUCCCUCUCAGCCACCCUCCUCCCUGCCCCGGGCCACAGGUGCCAACCGCCACCGCACAUAAAGCAGGUAUGGGCGAAUUCGCGCCUUCCCUGGAGAAGGAAGAAAGUCUGCUGGUGCCUUCGUUCCCUUUCUUUUUAUCUCACGCAUGCUGUCAGCGCUGGACUGGAACAUGCCAGCUCUUCAAGUGUGCACAGCACCACCGCAUAACAGUUUAUUUAUUUGUCUCUGGUUGGGGCAGAGAAGCUGGUUGCCUUCUGGAGAAUGGAGUGGGUCAUCUUCCCAGAUGUCUUUCACUCAAGAGAAGGAAGCUGGCAGACCAAGCUGACACCUUCUUCUAAGGAGAGAAGCCAAUCAACUUACUCCUCUCACAGGCAAGAGAAGCUGACAGGUGGCCCUGGUAUCUUCCAAAGGACAGCCAUUUUAAUGCACUGAAGUUGUUGUUCACUUGUAAUAAGCAUAAAGACUUCAGUUGAUUCCACCUGUUGUCUCUUGUAUAAUGCUUAGAUUGUAAGAUCUUCAUCUCCAGGUUAUGAGUUAAUACAGUGAGCAGCACAAUAGCACUGAGGCUGGUUGGUGCUUCCUCAUUGCCCUCCUCCCCCACUGCCACUCCACCCCUGGGGUGGCAACUUACCCACCCUAGGCUUGACAACCUGCACUUGUUUGCUGUCUGCUCCAGCCAGUGAGCUGGGCUAAAGACUGCUAAUUGCCCUGUGCCGCCUCAAGGGGCCAGGGCCCUAGAAUUGUUACAGACACAUACCGUGCUAGCCAAUUGACAGGACUGUCAGCCACUAAGUGGCGUAGUGAGAUGGAGUGGCCUCCCUCUGAGGCUGACAGGGAGGAACCCCACUGGAAGCCACUACAGAAAGUUUUAAAUAGGGGAAAAUGCCCUUAAAUAAAGAUACAUGCAUAUUGUGCCUCAGUCUUUGGACAGUUGCUACAAUCUCAGCAAUUCUUCCUAAUCUAAUAUUUUGCAUUACACCUGUUGCACGUUAUCUAUAUCUCCCCAGAAGCCCCACUUUCUGAAUGGCCUUGGGGACAUCCAAAAAAUACAGAUAGCCUCAAUUUUUGGAUGAUGAAAAUUCAUUCCUAUAUGAAUUCCUAUAUUUUGGGGAAUAAAGCUGAAAUUAGGAUAUUCUGAAAUUCAAAAAAUUGGUUCAGACAAACGGCGCUUACUCAUAUACAGAAUAACAUUUGGGAAUGAUUGUGCUAUGGAUCCAUAGCCAACAUCAUUUAUCCCAUCCCUUACAAUCUUAUUUUCUUCUGUUACCAAAUACUAGUAAUUUGGUCAACAGAUUAGUCCUGCAACCACACACUUUGUUACCAUUAACAAAAUACAGUUUUAUUCAGAGCAAACCUGCAUGUUUCUGCUGGUACUGAUUUAGUCCUCUGAUGGAUGAAGCAUAUAGUGUAAUGGAUGAAUCCACCUGGAAUAACAAAGAGAGUUUUAAAAAACUUCAUUUUUCCAAAGUGGGACAUUAGGAUCCUUGAAAUUGUCCCCCCAUCCCCCAUCAAACAAAUUUUACAGCUCCAAUCCAAGGGGCAUGACAGAAUGUAGAGACUGGACUAUCCAAAGGAUCAGCAUCUGGCUUCCAAAGAGGCAAGUGGACAAAACUGGAAUGCUCAUCUGCCCUGAAAGAAAUACAUCUUUUGUCGUAAUCUCUACCAGAAGUCGGAGAUACAGAGAUAUCUUAGCACAUUGCAAAUAGCAAGGAAUUUUUUGCUGUAUAAAAUGCUAACGAUUUUGUUUACUCUGCUACAUAGUUAACCCUAUUUAGGUUCCAUCCUAUGGACUCAAUCCUGCAAAAGUAUCCAUAAGGAUGGACUCUCAAUGGUAGAGAUGUUCCAAGUAGUACAGGGGAUUUAGCCAUAUAUAGGUCAUUAAAAUUCCAUCUUCUUUUUCACUGCUUUGAAAAUCUCAGCAGGACUCCUUGUGGGUGUACAGUUCACCUGCAUGGAUCCCUUUGCAAGACUGAGGUCUAUGGCUGAAACCAUCGGCAACAACCAUAUUUAUGGUACGUGUACCUUUAUUGCACUCACUGAGCUUCGGUGCCCAAAUCUGGGUAUGAUAUAGACAUUAGGCCAAAUCUGGCUCUCAGUUAACCUGGUGCAAGAUUCAGUGGAGAUGCACCACUGUCAUUGAGUGCUUGUUCCAUUAGUUCGUAAAGGAUUCAGAAGUAGUUCUGAAGCAAGUAUAGGAUUAAGUAAGUCUUGCUUGGCUUUUGUUUUGGAAAGUGGAUUUCUACGUCCAUUUC